rnacentral:tRNA from 1 species
ACAAAGUGUAGCUUAAACAAAGCACCUAGUUUACACCUAGAAGAUUUCAUAUAAACUGACCACUUUGA